UUCUCUACAGCCCCGACCCACUCUUAGUCUUGGUUAUCGCAUAGAGACUGUGUCUGCUUCUCGACCACCUAAACUAUAAAAGUCACACACAAAUCAAAGAGGAGUGACUUACCAGAAUUUAAUAAACUUCAAAACAGUUCCUCUUACAGAACAAAGCAACAGUAAGUUAAUAAAGUGUGGUUUAAUAAAUAUCAGAUCUCUCUCGUCUAAAUCCUUUUUAAUAAAUGACUUGAUAAGUGACCAUCACAUAGAUCUGUUCUGUCUCACUGAAACCUGGCUGCAGCAGGAUGAAUAUGUUACUUUAAAUGAGUCGACUCCAAUGAGUCACAUCAACUAUCAUGUUCCAAGAAGUACAGGUAGAGGUGGAGGAGUAGCAGCAAUUUAUAAAUCAGAUUUAUUAAUUACUCCUAAACCUAAACAUAGUUAUAACUCAUUUGAGAGCCCCACUCUGAGCCUUUCUCACCCAGACUCUAAAACUCAGUGUCAGGUUCUGGCUCUGUGCUCAGUUUUAUUUUGAAAAGGACUUUGUUCAUUGACCAUAUCAUCCUGUUUUAUUUUGGUAGUCUCCUGGUUUCUGUUUCUGUUCUAGCUUCACUCCCGGUUUACGUUUUGUCACAGCUGUCCCUGCUUCACCUGGUCAUUAUCCACACCUGCACGUUAUCAGUAAUCAAGUCACUUUGUAUUUAACCACCACCUGUUUCCCUAGCUCUUUGCCACAUCGUUGUUUGUGUGUUCCCGUAUUAUUCCAGUUCGUUGUUCUAGUCCUGCCGUAUAUCGUGUACCCUGUUUCUGACCGUUGAUUCUGAGCCUGCCUAGUCCCUGUCUGCCUUCUCUGCCGUGAUUAUCUACCGCUGCCUGUUACCAACCUUGCCUGCCUGACCACGAUCCUGCGCUCGACGAUUCGAUCCGCUGGUGAGAGGCCUUACCCAGGCGAUUAGGAGGACAUGCUUGUGGAACCGGGAGAUCCCUUACCGCCUCCCUGACGUGGCACUCCACCGGCCAGGAAACCGCCCCCAGUAGGCACUUUGCCGGCUAAAUGGUCUCAGGUUCCGUGGAGUCUUCCGGUGUCUCGUGGAGUCAAGACAGCGCGUCGGGCUUGGUAUUUUUGGACCCUGGUCUAUAGGAAAGGUGUAAGUUAAACCGGCUGAAAAACAGAGCCCACCUGGCCUGGCGUGAAUUUAGUCGUCUGGCGGUCCUCAGGUACUCCAGGUUCUUGUGGUCCGUAUAUAUAUAAAUAUAUAAAUGGUUGUUCUGCUCCCUCCAACCAGUGCCUCCACUCCUCGAGCGCCACCUUGACGGCCAGCAGCUCCCGGUCCCCGAUACUAUAAUUCUUCUUCGCUGGAGACAGUUUCCUGGACAUAAAGGCACAAGGAUGGAGCCUACCUCCGGCUGGAUCUCUCUGGGAGAGAACUGCUCCUACACCCGUGUUGGAGGCGUCCACUUCCACGAUGAACUGUCUUCCUGGGUCCGGCAUGUUCAGAAUGGGGGCUGACGUGAAGCUCUCCUUCAGUUGCUGAAAAGCGGCUUCUGCGUCCGCCGUCCACUGAAAAGGAGAUCUAACAGAGGUUAAGGCAUGCAGUGGAGCCGCGAUGCUGCUGAAAUGCCGGAUGAACUUGCGGUAGAAGUUGGCGAAUCCCAGAAACCGCUGGACAUCCCUGCGGCACUGGGAAACCGGCCAUUCUUCCACCGCCCGCGUUUUGGCCAGGUCCAUCUGGAUCCGGCCCUGUGAUACUAUGAAGCCGAGAAAUGCCACGGUCUCCACGUGGAACUCACACUUCUCAGCCUUCACAAAUAGUCUGUGCUCGAGCAACCGUUUGAGCACCUGAUGUACAUGGGAGAUGUGCUCCUCCUUGGGGUAGGAGAAAAUGAGGAUAUCAUCCAGAUAAACAAAAAACAAAAUCAUUAAUCAUGGACCCGAGAAUGUCAUUAACAAAGGCCUGGAACAUGGCCGGCGUGUUGGUGAGACCGAAUGGCAUGACCAGGUACUCGAAGUGUCCGUUGGGCGUGUUAAAGGCCGUUUUCCACUCAUCGCCCUCGCGAUAUGCGCACCAGAUGGUACGCAUUGUGGAGGUCUAAUUUUGUGAAACACGUGGCACCGGAAAGCAGUUCGAAGGCUGAGGAUAGCAGCGGCAAGGGGUAAGAAUCCCGUACCGUGAUGUCAUUAAGCCCUCGAUAGUCGAUACACGGCCUUAGCGAUCCGUCCUUUUUUCCCACGAAGAAGAACCCCGCUCUUGCGGGUGAUGAUGAAGGCCGUAUGAUUCACGAAGCUAGUGCUGAGUUCAAAUACUUCCUCAUGGCCGUUCGUUCCUUUGGGGACAAGUGGAACAGCCUCCCCUUGGGUGGUGCCGUACCGGGCCUUAGGUUAAUUGCACAAUCGUGCUUCCUGUGUGGUGGUAGGGAUGUGGCUCUGACCUUACUGAAAACCGUUCGGAGGUCGUGGUAGCACUCUGGAACACCCUUGAGGUCAAUCUCCUCUCCUCCUUCCAUCCCCGUCGCCUCCUGUGGAUCCUCUGACUCGAGUGUGGAUUGGAAACAGGUGGUUCGACACCCCGUACCCCAUUCACACACCUCUCCGCUCCUCCAAUCCAGUGUGGGGUUGUGCCUCCUCAGCGAGGUGUGCCCUAAAACCACAGGGUGAUAGCAGGACUCCACCACUAAGAAUGUGAUUCUCUCAGAAUGACCAUCGGCAAACGUCAUGGGAACAGGUGCGGUGUGGUGCGUGACCUUCCACAGUCUGCGGCCGUCCAGUGCCUCCGUUUCCACUGGCGACGCUAGGGGGGCUGUAUGAAUGCCCAUGCGCUCCGCCAACCCAGCGUCCAUCAGACUGGCGUCAGCUCCGGAGUCGAUUAGCACAGCCUGCUGGAUAGAACGGGUACUGGAAGUUAAUGUCACGGUAGGUAGAGAUCUAGCGGCGGCUCCGCCAAGGAUAGUUCGGCUUAUCGCUAUUCGCCGCUCUAGUGAUGAGCCUGAUCUUUUACUGGACACCUUGCUGCGUAGUGUCCACCCUGUCCACAGUACAUACACAGUUGCUGCGUCUCACUAAGGAGGAGAGAUGCAGGCGACGUGCCCGAUCUGCAUGGGUUCUUCUGUAAUUUGGGUUUCACCCAUGCCUCGCUGACUCGCCUGACCACUCGUUCCCCUCGUCGACAUCCGUGGGCACUGAGCGGGAACGUAGUGUGGUUCCCUCGCUCUCUCUUUGCCGUGAUGUUCUCGCUCACUGUUCCCCAGCCGUCGGUCGAUUCGUAUGGCCAGCGCGAUCAGAUCAUCCAAAGUGCUAGGGAGCUUGCGAUUGGCCAGACAGUCCUUUACCCGGCGUGACAGUCCGCGGAUAAAAACGUCUCCAAGCACGGUGGCCUCCCAACCAGCCUCCGCUGCCAGCGUCCGGAACUCUAUGGCGUACUUGGCCGUCGUUCUCCUCCCCUGGCGGAUGUUCACCAGCCUUUGUGCAGCCUCUCUCCCCGGAAUGAUCUCCUGGAAGAUCUGUUUUAGUGCUUCCGAAAAGGAGGUGAAUGUGGCCACGCAGGAGGAACCGUUCUGCCACUCUGCUGUCGCCCACGCCUCCGCCUUGCCGGUCAGAUGGGAAAUGGCAUAGGCCACACGCGAUCUCUCCGUGGGGAAAGCAGCUCGAAGUGAAUCUCGCACUGAGUGAUGAAUGCUCGGCAGUCGCCGGACUCACCCGAGAAGCAUGUAGGUGCUCCCAAACGAGCGUCGGGAACCGGGAUGACAGCCACUGGAGCCGCAGCGAUCGCACUUGUCCCGGCAGCGGCUACGGGCACCUGGAUUGGUUCCUCUUGUCGCAGGGCGCAGUCCGCCAGCCUCUGCAGCGCCUCGUUGGUCCUCUCCUCCUGCUCGCUGAGCCGCUUUCCUUGAGCGAGGAGCGCAGCACGCAGGGUCUCUACGCUGGCUGGGUCCAUGUCUGGCCAGAUCGUUCUGUCAGGUUUUGGCAGAGAUCGGACCCACAUGCACAGCACGAGACGUCAGACAGAUGGUAGAAUUUUAAGGAUUUAAUACAGUUCUCUUUACAACAGUCGGUCCAGGUCAUACACAAUGAUUCUCAGGUUUCAGUACAGAGGGAGCAGGCUGAAUCAGGUCCAAGGGCAGGCAAGGGUUCGACAACAGGAUUGGCAAGGUUACAGUACCGGUAAGGAGCAGGCUAUCUCGAGGUCCGGCGGUCAGGUCGGUAUUACAAGUUCUUUUCCAGGCGACAGUACCAUUCAGGAACAGACAGGAAUCGGGAGUCAGGAACACGAAGCAGGAUCAAGAAGCAAACAGGCAGGAGGAUGAAACGCUGGAAAGUGAUGACUGGCAUACAACGAUCUGGCAACAGGCUAAGGGAACUGGUGGUGGUUAAGUAUGCAGGUGAGUGAUUACUGAUUCUAGGCAGGUGUGAGUAAUGAGAACCGGAAGUACAGUAAGACUGGAGCUAAUGAGAUGCGACUGGAAACCGGAACUGCUACGCUAAAACAGGAUGUGACUUCAAGAACAUGACACAUUGAUUCUUCCUCUCAGAGAAAUAGAGGUACUGUUUUGAGGUGCAACUAGAUUAGUCAAAGAAGUUCUACCUUUAAUCAGCUCGUCCAUAUUAAAUCAAAUCAACCAAUCUUUACAUUUAGGCUAUGUACCACAGGCUUUUAAGGUGGCUGUGGUCAAACCUCUAUUGAAAAAACCAACCCUGGACCCUGGAGGACUAGCCAACUAUAGGCCCAUUUCAAAUUUACCCUUUAUUUCCAAGAUUCUUGAAAAAAAUCGUAGCUAAACAAUUAUCUGACCACCUGAUUGGGAAUAACCUGUAUGAAGAUUUUCAUUCAGGAUUUAGAAAACAUCAUAGCACAGAAACAUCUCUAGUUAGAGUCACUAAUGAUCUUCUAUUAGCUUUGGACAAUGGUCUAGUUUCUGUCCUUGUCCUGUUAGAUCUUAGUGCUGCAUUUGAUACAAUUGAUCAUAACAUUCUAUUACAGACAAUAGAACAUAGAAUUGGGAUUAAAGGAACAGCUUUGGGAUGGUUUAAAUCCUAUUUGUAGAACAGAUUCUAGUUUGUUCAUGUUAAUGAGAAAUUCUCCACAUGCACAAGGAUUAGCUAUGGAGUACCACAGGGUUCUGUGCUUGGUCCAAUUCUGUUUAGCCUAUACAUGUCUCCUAUAGGUGAGAUUAUUAGAAAGCAUUCUAUUAAUUUUAAUAUGCCACCCUGGAUGGCAUAACAUUAGCUUCAGAUUCUACUGUGAGGUACCUUGGUGUCAUCUUUGACCAGGAUCUCUCUUUUAAAUCAUACAUUAAACAAUUCUCCAGAACCACCUACUUCCAUCUUAGAAAUAUAGCUAAAAUCAGAAGCAUCCUCUCUCAGAGUGAUGCAGAGAAACUGAUUUGUUACCUCUAGGCUGGACUACUGUAACUGCUUACUCAUAGGAUGUCCUAACAGCUCCUUAAAAAGCCUACAACUUAUUCAAAAUGCUGCAGCCAGAGUUCUGACAGGACUUAGAAAGAGAGAUCACAUUUCUCCUACAUUAGCUUCUCUGCACUGGCUGCCUGUAAAAUGUAGGAUAGAAUUUAAAAUUCUCCUACUCACAUACAAAGUACUCAAUGAUAAAGCUCCUUCUUAUCUUAAAGACCUCAUAGUUCCUUGUGCUCCCAGCAGAACGCUUUGUUCUCAGAGCGCUGGGCUACUUGUGGUUCCUGGAGUCUUAGAACGGGAGGCAGAGCUUUUAGCUACCAAGCUCCUCUCCUCUGGAACCAGCUCCCUCUUCAGGUUUGAGACACACUCUCCACCUUUAUGAUUAGGAUUAAAACCUUCCUUUUUGAUAAAGCUUAUAGUUAGAGAUGGUUCAGGUCACUGGCAAUGAUUGUUAGUCACAGGAACCAUCUCAUAGUUAAGCUGCAAUAGACAUAGACUGCUGGGGGACUUAAUUUAUACACUGAACUCUUCUGUUUCCUUCUACCUCUUCUGUCCAAUAAUCUCCCAUCAUUGUUCUAUGUUUAACUAACCUUGUCUCUUUCUCUCUAGUAGUUGUGCUCCCCCUCCCCCCUCUCUCUCUCUCCUCCACUCUGUCCUCACCUACAGGUAUUAUUGGACUCAGAGCCUUGUGUCUGUGAUGGGUAGCUGUGGGUCAAACCAUCCUGCCUGUAUCCAGUCCCUGGUCCAACCAUCCUGCCUGUGCUCUGUUGUUGCCUGUCUCUCUCUCUAUCCCCUCACCCCAACUGGUCGAGGCAGAUGGCCUCCUACAUCCAGCCUAGUUCUGCUGGAGGUUUCUUCCUCGUUAGAGAGGGAGUUUUUCCUCUCCACUGUUGCUGUCAAAUUAAAUGCUUGCUGUAUGUGGGAUUUGUUGGGUUUAGUUGUGUGAGGUCUUAAACCUUACUUUGUAAAGUGCCUUGAGAUAACUUUGUUGUUAUUUGGCGCUAUAUAAAUAAAAUUGAAUUGAAUUGAA